CGUAGGAGGCGAGCGUUGUCCGGAUUUACUGGGCGUAAAGGGCGCGCAGGCGGCCUUGCAAGUAGCGUGUGAAAUCCACCUGCUCAACGGGUGGGGUGCAUGGUAGACUGCAGGGCUAGAGGACGGUAGAGGGGGGUGGAAUUGCUGGUGUAGCGGUGAAAUGCGUAGAGAUCAGCAGGAACACCCGUGGCGAAGGCGGCCCCCUGGGCCGUACCUGACGCUGAGGCGCGAAGGCUAGGGGAGCGAACGGGAUUAGAUACCCCGGUAGUCCUAGCAGUAAACGAUGGCCACUAGGUGUGGGGGGUGUUGACCCCUUCCGUGCCGAAGCUAACGCAUUAAGUGGCCCGCCUGGGGAGUACGGUCGCAAGACUA
rnacentral:rRNA from 1 species